CCGGGUGUAGCGCAAUUGGUAGAGCGCGUGGUUUGGGACCACGAGGCUGGGGGUUCGAGCCCCACUACUCGGACCA
rnacentral:tRNA from 1 species